UUUCGUUAGAGAUCUACUGCUUUGCAUCCUUUUAGUCUUAAAUCUAUUUGUUGACCACCAUUUUCCCGUACAAGGAGAUUGAAUUCUUGUUGUGAAGAAGAGGUUACAGUGACAUGGAUUCCAUGGAUAUGAGCUCAGAAAUCCUCACAAGAAUUGGGUGCAUACUUCUUAUGUUACCACUUAUGGGUUUCUGGCUCAAAUAGGAAAUAUAUUAACAGAGUUUCGUUCUCCCUAAAUUUAGCUCCAUUAAAACACAAACGACUUGGGUUCCACUGUGUCAUUUUGAUUAUUGUGUUCUUCACAGUUGGUGCAAUCACCCUUCCUUCAUCAGAUAUUUCAAGAUUUAAAAAUCAUUUAUAUGGGCGUUGCAUUUCAAGGUUACUGUGCUCUUCAAGGUUUCUUGACCGCCAUUUUCCCAUAAAGGGAGAUUGAAUUCUUGUUCUGAAAAAGAUAUGAGCUCAGAAACACAAGCGACUCGGGUUCCAUUAUAUCGUUUUGAUUAUUUUAUUCUUCACAGUUGGUGCAACCAUCCUUCAUCAGAUAUCUCAAGAUGACAGAGCGCCUCAGAAUUAAGGAUUCCUUUGCGCUUAGCUGGACAUAAAGAUGAUAGAGUAUCACCAUCAGGAAAGUGCUUAACAGAGGCAAGUGCAACAAAACCAGGAAAUCCAAGAUGUUGUCCUCUUACCUGAUGAGGUGUUACUGUCUUCUCAGAGAUUCAGAUGCAAAGACAAAGAAUCUCUGCCAUCUUCUUUCGAAGACAAUCUCCAUACACAACGGAAGGGAAUUGAAUAUUUAGAUAGAGCCCAAGGAGCUGCGGUAAGAUGCCAGGCACCUGCACAAAAUGUCCAAUGGUCUGCAAAAUCAAUGACCCUAGUUGACAACAUUCAUAACCCAGUUUUAACUUUUAACAGAGACCAUGAAAGUGAAUGCCGAGUUUAUGAAUUCCUCCCAGCCCAUUGAAUCACAUCACAUGGUAUAUGAGAAGUUCAUUACAGAAAAGGAUAUUUUUCUGUUUGCCAAAGGUAUCAACUAUAAACAAGGACUAAAUGUUGCAACACAAGACCUCCGUUGCAUCUUCAAUGGCACAAUAGAAACUACUGUAACUCUAUUUGCACUCUGCACAAGAGAUCUUUAGGUGUGAGCAUCCAGAAGAAGAACAAGUACUUCAUCAGUUGCUUGGAUACAAAAUCACUCCGUCAAUCCUUGGAAACCCUAUUCCUUCAGUUGUUUAUUAUGACAUCCCACCAUCUUAUCACAGACCUCUGCAGUAUGCUCAUGUUAGAACUGCAGAAAGCAAGAUGAAACUAUGUGCCUGCACCUUGGUGUUUAUCUCUGGACUCCGGCCCCUUCUCGCAGCGGAUCAACCUGGGUUCGCUUCAAUGGACGCAUAUGCUGCCAGUUCAGUCGCCAAGUAUACAGCAGCAGCAUCGCAGGGCCUGCAAUAUGUUAGGUUCAAGAUGGUUCCGUGUGGGGUAAAUUUACUGCAUACGCAUCCAUGAGAUUCAGAAAUGCUUACUCUUAUCUCAGGAGGGCCUCUUCAAGUUGGUUUUGUUGACACUCAAGGUCAAGCUUUCAUCGAUAUUUUGCAUUCUGGAGAUAUGACCAUAUUUUCGAGGGGGACACUGGAUUUUGAGCUUAAUGUUGGAAUUGAAGAAGCUAAUUAUAUCUCUGCUCUCAACAGUCAAAAUCCUGGUGUUGUGACAAGCAGCGUGUCAAUAUUGAAGCUUCCAUUGAGAAGUGUGUCAACAGCUUUCAACAUCACCCAACAAGCUGUAAAGAAAUUAGAUUCAACGAUAUAUGCCAGUGCAAUGGGACUGAAAAAAACAUCCAAAAGCGGUUGUGUUCCAGGAAGAGAUAUUACUGAAGAAUUUUUAAUUAUAUGUUGAUUCCCACUCCCCCACAAUAAAUGGCGUCCAUUGGGAACCAUAUGCCCCGACCCGGCAUAAUGUGAGCAGAUAUCCAUUGCCAAUGGCUAAGACACAGGAAGCAGAGUUUUCACACUGUUCUUUCAUGGCCAGGGAAAAGUUCCAAUAGAUGUUGUAUACCGAUGUGGGUGAGUUUGUAUUCUCUGAUUCUUGGUUGAAUGAGCAGGUGGGUCCAGAGGACAAGGGCUUUCAGGAAGUAAAACCCAACUGCAGGGAUCUUACUUCAGUGGCUCUCUUGAAAAAUGGUUAUGAGUCUAAGUUCACAGAGGAACAGCCGUCAAGAAUUUCCGAAUCUCAUAUCAGGCAACUUUCCUUCAAGUGUAGGAAUUUUGGGCCAUCAAGGCAUACCGAACACCCUGAGAGGGAGGCAGGAGAAAAGGUUCAAGAGAGGCAGAAGAAAAAGUUGCAGUUAGUUGUUGAUCUGAUCUUGGUUAUUUUGCAGUUACGUUAGAGGAGGUGAUAUUGGAAACAAAUUUAAGAUUCCUUUGUGCUUAACUGGAGGUUUGCAAGAAGGAUUUUGAAGAAAGACAAUAGAGUACAACCUAAAGGCAUGUGCUUCGGAGAGGAAUCAUUUUCCAACCACUGAAUCUGACUGUGCUGUACAGCCAUGGAUUUUUAUUCAUCCAAGAUGUUGUCCUCUUACUUGAUGAAGUGUUACUAUCGGUCCCACUGUUUUUUCCAAGAUUCAGAUUUGGAGAGAAAGAAUCUCUCCAAUGGUUCUUUCUCAAACAAUUUCUAUACACAACCGAAGGAAACUGAAUAUUUAGAUACAGCCCAAUUUUCCCACUUCCUUUUCAAAGUGUUUUUGCCUUUUUAUUUUUUGUAUUUUUUAUUUUUUGUUUAUUCGCUUCUUUGGAUUUGUUCUUGGUUUCUCAUGCGAUUCCUAUCUUUUUCUUUUUAUUAUCAAAUCCAAAAUCCAAUUUUAAUUUCAACUCAUCCCAUCCCUUCUUAUCACCUUGAGAAUUUUUCUUAGCAUCUUAUUUCAAAAUUUUUGUUUUUCAGCUUGUCAAGCAGCCUAUCUUUUAAUCUGCCUAGCUUUUAUCGCUUUUUUGUGCUCUUGGAACCUUUUCUUUAGUUUUUGCACUCUUUCUAAGUGUUUCUGCUAAUCUUCUAGCUCAAAUGCCUUUUCCAGGUUCUUAACUUCCUUUGGAGUAGUUGCGGAUUCCAAUUUUUAUAAUCUCUAUUUUAUGAUCUUUUGUCUUUCUUGUUUUCGUCGUCUCCUUUCCUCUUUGAUUUUUUGAAAUUCUGAGAGUUUACUUCUUCUUUGGAUAUUCAAUUCCCUUCAGUUUGUAUAAAAAUUGUUUGAGAAAAAACAUUGCAGAGAUUCUUUGUCUUCAAAUCUAAAUUUUGGAGAAGGUGGUGGGACCAAUAGUGACACUUCACUAGGUAAGAGGACAACAUCUUGGAUGAAUAAAAAUCCAUGGCUUUGCUUCAUAGUCAGAUUCAGGGAUUGGAAAUGACUCCUCUGUGAAGCACUUGCUUGUAGGUUGUACUCUAUCAUCUUUCUUCCAAAUCCUUCUUGCAGACCUCUAGGUAAGCGCAAAGGAAUCCUUAAAUUUCUGUCUGAUAACAACUCUAACGUAACUCUAACUUAACCAAUGACAAGUGAACAACUAACUCAGAAAAAUUAAAAUAGGGAAUGCCUAAAAUUCUCAGCUGCUGUCAUCUAUUGCAAGCACAAGAAGGUUAUCCAUUAUGGCUACAUAUUACAAGGACAGAAAUACUUCUGUGGCAGUACCAGCGUUUGAGGAUCCAUAUCAUCUUUGACUAAUACUUCUGUGGCAAGUUUCCUUCAAGUGUAGGAAUUUUGGGCCAUCAGGGCUCACUGAACACCUUGACAGAGGGGUAACCCAAAGGUACACUGUAGAGAGAGGCAGGAGAAAAGGUUCAACUCCAUAGUUUUGUCGGAAGCUGCCUCUACUUCAUUGUUUAAUGUAAUACACCGUUUCCAGCUGAAGAAGGGAUACAGGACAUUGUAUGUGCAGUCCUCCAUGGCAAUGAUAAAUCAUUAUACAUAUUAAGCAUUGAUUGAGUUUAAGGUCAAGUUUAGGAGGCGAGUAACUGCCUAUGUUGUGGAUUGGAGUGAGUCUAAAUAUUCUGCUUCUCAGGACAGAACACCUGGCCUUAGCAAUAAGGCCAUUCAGCCAGAUGAUUGGGAACAUAGAUUUUGUGAGGUGAUAGAUACUGCAUUGAAAGAUUUUGCAAUCAGGGUGUUUUCAUUGAGUAAUGAGCCAACUUCCAAACUAGAAUGGCAAUUAUAAAUCUAAUGUUUAAUGCUCAUAUACCUCAAAUUCUGUUUACUUGUAUCUAAUAAAAAAUCGGUAUUUGAGGGGUGAUUCAUUGCCCCAGGUUUAAACUUGACAAUUUGAACUUAAUGCCAAAGGCAAACAGGGUAGAUCAAUCUGUUACAGCAUAAGCCGUAUUUGAAAUCAUAAAAUAAUUUAAAAGAGCAUAAUUGUACCAUGAUAUGUUUCACCGGGACAAGUCCUC